rnacentral:rRNA from 1 species
CCUACGGGGGGCUGCAGUGGGGAAUAUUGGACAAUGGGGGGAACCCUGAUCCAGCCAUGCCGCGUGUGUGAAGAAGGCCCUCGGGUUGUAAAGCACUUUCAGUGAGGAAGAACGCCUGGUGGUUAAUACCCAUCAGGAAAGACAUCACUCACAGAAGAAGCACCGGCUAACUCCGUGCCAGCAGCCGCGGUAAUACGGAGGGUGCGAGCGUUAAUCGGAAUUACUGGGCGUAACGCGCGCGUAGGUGGCUUGAUAAGCCGGUUGUGAAAGCCCCGGGCUCAACCUGGGAACGGCAUCCGGAACUGUCAAGCUAGAGUGCAGGAGAGGAAGGUAGAAUUCCCGGUGUAGCGGUGAAAUGCGUAGAGAUCGGGAGGAAGACCAGUGGCGAAGGCGGCCUUCUGGACUGACACUGACACUGAGGUGCGAAAGCGUGGGUAGCAAACAGGAUUAGAUACCCCGGUAGUC